AGGUUAAGCUAGAAAGGGCGCACGGUGGAUGCCUUGGCACUAGGAGCCGAUGAAGGACGGGGCAAACGCCGAAACGCUCCGGGGAGCUGUAAGCAAGCGUYGAUCCGGAGAUGUCCGAAUGGGGGAACCCACUGUCCGUAAUGGGGCAGUAUCCAUGCCUGAAUCCAUAGGGCAUGGAGGGCACACCCGGGGAACUGAAACAUCUUAGUACCCGGAGGAGAAGAAAGCAAACGCGAUUCCCYRAGUAGCGGCGAGCGAAACGGGAACAGCCCAAACCAAGAGGCGUGCCUCUUGGGGUUGUAGGACCGCUCAUUGUGGGAGUGAGAAAGGAACGGGGUAGACGAACCGGUCUGGAACGGCCGGCCAGAGAAGGUGACAGCCCUGUAGUCGAAACUUCGUUCCCUCCCGAGCGGAUCCUGAGUACGGCGGGACACGGGAAAUCCCGUCGGAAGCAGGGAGGACCAUCUCCCAAGGCUAAAUACUCCCUAGUGACCGAUAGUGCACCAGUACCGUGAGGGAAAGGUGAAAAGCACCCCGGAAGGGGAGUGAAAGAGAACCUGAAACCGUGUGCCUACAAGUAGUCAGAGCGCGUUCAUGCGUGAUGGCGUGCCUUUUGUAGAAUGAACCGGCGAGUGACGAUGGCGUGCGAGGUUAAGCCGAAGAGGCGGAGCCGCAGCGAAAGCGAGUCUGAACAGGGCGAAAAGUACGUCGUCGUCGACCCGAAACCAGGUGAUCUACCCAUGUCCAGGGUGAAGGCCGGGUAACACCGGCUGGAGGCCCGAACCCACGCACGUUGAAAAGUGCGGGGAUGAGGUGUGGGUAGGGGUGAAAUGCCAAUCGAACUUGGAGAUAGCUGGUUCUCCCCGAAAUAGCUUUAGGGCUAGCCUCGGGAUGGAGAGUGUUGGAGGUAGAGCACUGAUUGGGCUAGGGGCCCUCAUCGGGUUACCGAACCCAGUCAAACUCCGAAUGCCAACGACUUAUGCCCGGGAGUCAGACUGCGAGUGAUAAGAUCCGUGGUCGAGAGGGAAACAGCCCAGAUCGCCAGCUAAGGCCCCAAAGUGCACGUUCAGUGGAAAAGGAUGUGGAGUUGCAAAGACAACCAGGAUGUUGGCUUAGAAGCAGCCACCAUUUAAAGAGUGCGUAAUAGCUCACUGGUCGAGUGACUCUGCGCCGAAAAUGUACCGGGGCUAAACGUGCCGCCGAAGCUGCGGGAUGACCGUUGGUCAUCGGUAGGGGAGCGUUCUAAGGGCGUUGAAGCCAGACCGGAAGGACUGGUGGAGCGCUUAGAAGUGAGAAUGCCGGUAUGAGUAGCGAAAACAGAGGUGAGAAUCCUCUGCGCCGAAAGCCUAAGGGUUCCUGAGGAAGGUUCGUCCGCUCAGGGUUAGUCGGGACCUAAGCCGAGGCCGAAAGGCGUAGGUGAUGGACAACAGGUUGAGAUUCCUGUACCACCUCCUUCCCGUUUGAGCGAUGGGGGGACGCAGGAGGAUAGGGCGAGCAGGCGGCUGGAAGAGCCUGUCCAAGCCGCAAGGCUGAUCCGUAGGCAAAUCCGCGGAUUGUAAGGCCAAGCGGUGAUGGCGACGGAGUCAUCCGGAAGUCCCCGAUUUCACACUGCCAAGAAAAGCCUCUAGCGAGGGAAGAGGUGCCCGUACCGCAAACCGACACAGGUAGGCGAGGAGAGAAUCCUAAGGCGCGCGGGAGAACUCUCGUUAAGGAACUCGGCAAAAUGACCCCGUAACUUCGGGAGAAGGGGUGCUCGUUUGGGUGAAGAGCCCGAACGAGCCGCAGUGAAAAGGCCCAAGCGACUGUUUAUCAAAAACACAGGUCUCUGCGAAGCCGAAAGGCGACGUAUAGGGGCUGACACCUGCCCGGUGCUGGAAGGUUAAGGGGAGCGCUUAGCGGAAGCGAAGGUGCGAACCGAAGCCCCAGUAAACGGCGGCCGUAACUAUAACGGUCCUAAGGUAGCGAAAUUCCUUGUCGGGUAAGUUCCGACCCGCACGAAAGGUGUAACGACUUGGGCGCUGUCUCAACGAGAGACCCGGUGAAAUUAUACUACCUGUGAAGAUGCAGGUUACCCGCGACAGGACGGAAAGACCCCGUGGAGCUUUACUGCAGCCUGAUAUGGAAUUUUGGUAUCGCUUGUACAGGAUAGGUGGGAGCCUGGGAAGCCGGAGCGCCAGCUUCGGUGGAGGCGGCGGUGGGAUACCACCGGGGUGGGAGACAGUGUCAGGCGGGCAGUUUGACUGGGGCGGUCGCCUCCCAAAAGGUAACGGAGGCGCCCAAAGGUUCCCUCAGAAUGGUUGGAAAUCAUUCGGAGAGUGCAAAGGCACAAGGGAGCUUGACUGCGAGACGGACAGGUCGAGCAGGGACGAAAGUCGGGCUUAGUGAUCCGGUGGUUCCGCAUGGAAGGGCCAUCGCUCAACGGAUAAAAGCUACCCCGGGGAUAACAGGCUGAUCUCCCCCAAGAGUCCACAUCGACGGGGAGGUUUGGCACCUCGAUGUCGGCUCAUCGCAUCCUGGGGCUGUAGUCGGUCCCAAGGGUUGGGCUGUUCGCCCAUUAAAGCGGUACGCGAGCUGGGUUCAGAACGUCGUGAGACAGUUCGGUCCCUAUCCGUCGCGGGCGCAGGAAAUUUGAGAGGAGCUGUCCUUAGUACGAGAGGACCGGGAUGGACGCACCGCUGGUGUACCAGUUGUCCCGCCAGGGGCACCGCUGGGUAGCUAUGUGCGGACGGGAUAAGCGCUGAAAGCAUCUAAGCGUGAAGCCCCCCUCAAGAUGAGAUUUCCCACCGCGUCAGGCGGGUAAGAUCCCUCGAAGAUGACGAGGUCGAUAGGUCCGAGGUGGAAGCGUGGCGACACGUGGAGCUGACGGAUACUAAUCGAUCGAGGGCUUAACC
rnacentral:rRNA from 1 species